GACAGAGGGUGCAAACGUUGUUCGGAUUUACUGGGCGUAAAGCGUACGCAGACGGUGAGAAAGGUCGGAUGUGAAAGCCCCGGGCUCAACCCGGGAACUGCAUCCGAAACCAUCUCGCUCGAGUAUGGGAGAGGGAAGCGGAAUUCCUGGUGUAGAGGUGAAAUUCGUAGAUAUCAGGAGGAACACCGGCGGCGAAGGCGGCUUCCUGGCCCAUUACUGACGUUCAGGUACGAAAGCGUGGGUAGCAAACAGG
rnacentral:rRNA from 1 species